rnacentral:rRNA from 1 species
CGGAGGGUGCGAGCGUUGUCCGGAUUUAUUGGGUUUAAAGGGUGCGUAGGUGGCCUGUUAAGUCAGUGGUGAAAUACGGUUGCUCAACAAUCGAGGUGCCAUUGAUACUGACCGGCUUGAAAUAAUUGGAGGCUGCCGGAAUGGAUGGUGUAGCGGUGAAGUGCAUAGAUAUCAUCCAGAACACCGAUUGCGAAGGCAGGUGGCUACGAUUGGUUUGACACUGAGGCACGAAAGCAUGGGGAGCAAACAGGAUUAGAUACCCUGGUAGUCCAUGCUGUAAACGAUGAGGACUCGUUGUUUGGCAGUAAUGCUGAGCGACUUAGGGAAACCGUUAAGUCCUCCACCUGGGGAGUACGCCGGCAACGGUG